AAUAAGUGUAGUUUUACACUAUUCACGUUCAACAUUUAACCGUUCGUUUUAUUUGAAAUUUUUUUAUGAUUAGCAUUUUUAUUGCUAUUAGAUGAUAAAACACUAAUAAUACUUUAUGUGCGACUAAAUAUUUUUAAAUUUUUUAUAAACUUUUUAAAUAAGACGAACGGUCAAACGUUAGGCAUAGAUAUUCACGACUGCAUUUAUU
rfam:Oryza nivara chromosome 1, whole genome shotgun sequence.